rnacentral:misc_RNA from 1 species
UUUCCGUAGGUGAACCUGCGGAAGGAUCAUUCAUAAUAAAGUGUUUUAUGGCACUUUUUAAAAAUCCAUAUCCACCUUGUGUGCAAUGUUAGAUCUCGUCAAUCUUGGCGAGAUUUUUAUACAUCAACUCAUUCUUUAACCAAUUUGUCUGAAAAAUAUCAUGAAUACUUAAUUCAAAAUACAACUUUCAACAACGGAUCUCUUGGCUCUC